GUAGUUUUUGUUGGAUUAGUGUCUAAGUCCAUAACUAUUUUGGUAUGUACUUGACCCGAUUAUGAGCAUGGUCCUUUUGGGUUGCCUUCACCAUAGCAAUAUGUAGGAUGAUUUAAGAAGAGAAAGGUUUAAAUAUGAUUUAUUAAUAUAUUAUGAGAAUAAUAUAUUAAAGGACAAAUCAUAUUGUUUAAUUAAUAUUAGUCAAGAAUUAAUUAAGAAUUAAUUUUGUGGCUAAAAGAGAUUAAUUAAAUUUAGGGGACUGGACUGCAAUUAUUGGAUAAUUGAGUUAUUGGGCUAAGGAAUGCUAAAGGAAUAAGGGGUGAACGAAAUUAUGAUGGAAGCCCAUCAUAUUUUCGUCCAUAGCCUUAUCCAGAAGGUUCCAUGGGCUGCUUAGAGUUUAAGCUGUCCAUUAGGGUUUUGACUGAAACCCUAGCAGCCCACACAAGUAUAUAAAGGACCCCUUAGGCUCCAAAAACGUGGACAACUGAUUCUCUAGGGUUUCUAGUCGUUUUUGGGCAGCCUCUCUUCUUCUCCUCUUCAUCCAAGUUGCAUAAGGUGUUUGUGCCUCCAUUAGAGGUGCAGCACUUGAGGCACUAAGCUUUUGAAGCCAAUCCAAGCAAGGAAUUGAUUGCUAUUGCUAUAUAACAAUCAAAGGUAAAUCUAUAAACCCUAAUUCAGUUUAUAAUAUGUUAGAUCUAAGUUUAUUAGUCUUGGAUUCAAAGCAUGUACAAUAGAGAAACCUAGAUCCAAGCAUUAGGGUUUGUAUGAGCACAUAGGAUUGUUCUUAUGCAUAAAACCCAUCAGUGGUAUCAGAGCCUUGAUUGGUUUCUGUUGUAUGUGAUGCUAUGUUGAAUUAUUUACUAAAAAACGAGUUUUUUGCCUCUGCCCGACUCAACUCGGCGAGUCAGUAUCUGGACUCGGCGAGUUGGCCCUACUCGGCGAGUCCAGGUCUGACUCAGCGAGUCAGUUCGUCAGGCAGAGGGUAUUUCGGGAUUUAGCUGCUGUUUUGACUUGGAUUUGAUGCCUAAUUCGUUUUUUGAAGUUAAAAUCCGAUUUUUAUCUUAAAUUAAUGAUUAUCCUUGCCAAAACAAUAGAUAAUUUCAAAUCUUUUAAAUAUUGGUUGUUUAUAUGAUAAAUAUGGAUUAUUUCAAAUUAUUUGGUAAUUAUCUAAUGACUAAAAUAAGAUUAGGUCAAAUAUAGAUAAUUAUGAAAUUAAUUGUUUAAUUUGAAUUAUUUGUUGUUUGAUCCCUAAUGUUUUGAAAUGUUUCAAAACUUGCCCUCAAGUUUUGGAAUUUAAAAUUUGAUUAAAAGUUUAAUUUUGAAAUGUUAAAUUCUAAAACCCUAGUAAUUUGAAAAGUUCAAAUCACACCCUUAUGGUUUUAUUAAUUAAUUAAAGUGUAUAAUUAAAAGUGAUUUAAUAAACCCAUAAAAUUUUUGGUUUACAUUUAAUUAAAUUAAAAGUAUAAUUUACUAAAUUAAACCACCUAGUAUUUUAAAAGUGUAAAAUACACCCUAUACUAUAUAUAACAUUAAAAGUCUAAUAUUAUAUAUGUAUGAGUAAACAGUCAGUCUUACCGUUAGUAGGCCUCAUUCACGAAGCUGGUCUAUAAGGGGUGUUUAAGGAAAUUGCCUAUAAAAUGGCGAUUGAAUGGGUAUCCACUCUUACCCACCGCACUCUUGACUAGUGGAGGGUCGUUAGCCGAACGGGUAGGAUAGGACAGAAACCUUCCAUUAUAAGUAUAAUGAAGUACAAAGUAACUAAAUGCUUUUACAAAUUCCCAAAUCAUAGUUACUUUAGGAAAAAUGUGAAAUUGUAUGCUAACCCAUGGAAUUACACUUCGUACCCUUGUCAAACGUUAGUGGAGCGUGUGUGGUUAACCGGCACACUAAUUUGGGGAUGACAUUGGUAGCGAAGGGUGACUCGAUGCUUAUCAUAGAUCAAUGGAGCGUGUGUGGCUAACCGGCACAUUGAUUAGGUGAUUGUAGCAUUGGGUGCACCACGUGAUUCGUAUGGUUAUUCACACCUUGUUUGUGAUCCUCGGCAUCCCAGUCACAAAUAGUAGGGCAUAAUCGAGAUUAAACAUGCCAUUGAAAAGUUCAAUGAAUCUCAAAAGAUCUAGGAGUUUCAAUUCAUUUAAAACUUAAACUUCUUUUUCGUUUUUCAUGGUGGAAAUUGGUAAAUCGUCAUUUACCUACCUUCAAAUAUUUUGCAACUAGAUUACGGCAUCCCUUUUCUAGGUUGUAGAAUAUUGUGUUGGAUCCUAGCCUUAAUAACUCAUUUGGGUGUUUUAUUAAGGACUCUAAUCAACUUAACUUGAAUUUUCUCCCGUUUUGUAGAUGUCUAACCGUGGUAUUCCCGAAUCCCAAGGAAAAAGUGUUCCUAAUGAAAGUGAAAGCUUGAUUCAAAGUGAGAGAUCAAUGUGGACUAGCUUAAUUUCACUUCCUCCUCUUCCUCCCGUUGUUCUCCCUAGCCCUAAUGAUCGAAGACUUGAAAGGUUCAAGAUCACCGAAUCCCUAUUGGAAAUGGAACAUCAAGAUGGCAAACCCGUGUGUGCUCACAUCCUAGGGAUGAAAUCACACAUUGAUAGGUUGAUCAUGUUGGGUGCGUCUAUCUCAAAUAAGUUGGCUGUGGACUGGGUUCUUCAGUCACUCCCUGAAUCAUAUGAUAAGUUCAUUAGAGAGUAUCAUAUGAUGAAACUUGACGCAACCCUCAUUGAUUUGACUUAUAUGCUUAUUGCUGCUGAAUCAGAAAUGAUUUGGCGAAGUAAGGGAGCAUAUUUGUCUGAUAAAUCAACCAACCAUGCUUCCGUGGACAAUCUAGGAGAAUCCACCUGUUCCUGCUGCCAAGGAAAGGGGAAAUGGAUACGAAGCUGCCCGAAGGACCUGAAGAAUCUAAGAGAUGGGAGAGUCGAUAAGUAUGGCUCUACUUCAGGUAUAAAAUCCACUAUCUAACUCCAUUUAAAUUCCUAUUCUUUAUUCAUAAUGUGAUAAGAUUACAUUUGCAUGUUUUGCAGGAUUAGAGAAAAGAGAGGAAGUUUGAUGGAAGAGCAAGAUGAGUCUAAUCACGAAGAAAUGGAUUUCGAUCGCAUGAAUUCGAAGAUCAGAUUUUGAGCUUAGGAAGUUAAUAGUUUUUCAUUUGAAUUUUGCAUUGUAAGGAAAUGUUUUCCGCUGUUUUUAUGAAUAAAAUAAAUUUUGGUUUUAUCUUAUUUGUUUAUCCUUGCAAUGAAAUAUAUGAAAAAUUGAUGUUUGUGUACUUCUAUUAUUAGCAAAAUGGAUUUGAUUCUUAAUUAUGUUAUUUGUGGAAAUGUCAAAAGUUUACCAAAUAGGGAGAGUUUCUCAUCGCCCAAGUUUCAAUUGGACAGAAACUUGGAAUCAUGCAAUGUGUAUUGUAUGAUGAAUGAAAAACUUUCACAUUUGGGAAACUUAGGCUAAUUCUUUGACAAAGUGUCAAUUGAAGGACAAGGAGAUUAAGUACACUAGGUUGUGCGUUGAUCAAGUCACCCACAAGAGUGACAAAGAUAUUCGUCAUGAUUUACUAAAGUUUAGUAAAUAUGAUUAUACUUAUAAGAUUAAGUGUAAUUUUGAGUUGAUUGAAAGAGUUUCAAUGAAUAGUAGAACGAAUAAAGAAGAAUCAAGUAGGCAGAAAGAUAAAAGUUUCUCUAUUCUAAGAAGAAGGGAGAGUACCUUUUAUUGUGUUUUAUGAUAAGUCUUAAUGAUUAAGAACCAUGUCUCAAUAGAUCCUCUAAGUGAGUCUUAGUGCAAUUGCAUGUCUAAGAAGAGGAAUCAAGUAUUGUAGAAAUGGUUAAAUCAAUAAGUCAAUCAUACUUCGUUCCAAUAUCAAGUCUUAGAGUCAAGAUUAUGACAUUGAGUGAAAGGUCUUAAGUAGGCUUAUAACACUCAUCAAAUGUGGAACUUGGAAAAUUUUUCUUAUUCUUACACAUUUGAAAUUGGUAAGUUGUGCUGUCUUGGGUAAGACAAAGACCAACUAGGACCAAUUAUGUGAAGUGUUUUGUCUUGAUAAGAACUACACUAACUCUUGAAUAUUUGCUUUGUCAAGAAAUGUUUCUUGACAAGAGAAUCUUAUAUGUCAAGGAGUCAGUGGGAGUCUUAAUGGUCUUGAAAGGUUUCAAGAACAAAUCAAGAAUAAACCUUAUCGAUCAUCACUAGCACACGACUUGAGGUUUACAACCUAUCGUGCUGACAUUAUUUUGUUUUUGUGCCAUUCCAAUUGAGUUAAUUGUGUAUGUGAGUUCUAUGAGUUCUCAUUUGAAUGCAUACUAGAGCCUUAGUCGAUGGAAAGUACAUUGAUAUGUAAGGACAAGUUACUAAACUACUUGGAAGACAUGGUGGGCACUCGUGUUACCAUAAGGCAAGAAAUCAAGAUUAAGAAAGUUCAGUCCAUAUGAGUUUGGAUUUGUCGCAAACCUUGGUUUUGGCAAAUUCACAUGGAUAGGAACUCAUACACCAUAAAAUCUAAGUGUCAUAAGAUUCCCUCCUUCAUGAAAAUGACUGUGAGGAAAUGCUUUCACUAAGAGAGAUCUUAAGAAGAUAGCAAUUGUGAAAAUUGUAUUCUCAAAUUCGAUUAUGGUUACGGCAUCCCUUUCCAUAGUUCGAAUUGUGAGAUUUGGCAAUUAGUUUGAACAUUUGGAACUUAGUAACAUAAGUUCUAAAUUGUUUAAACACACAUAUGAGCUAUCUAAGGCAAAGGUGUAUAAGUUUAAGAAGCUUAGAUAAAGGCUUAUCGAAGCAUCUGGUAUUAGAAAUAUGAAUUUCAGAAAUUCAAUAGGCAUUGUUUUCUGGAAGUUCAUUUGUUUUCUGAAUACAUGUCAAAGCUAGUGGGAGCAUAAGUGUUAUGCUUAUAUGAUAAUAAUCAUCAUGAUAGUGGGAGCAUAAGUGUUAUGCUUGUAUGAUUAUUAUGGCGAGUAUUGCAAGUUAGCAAUAUUAAUUAUAGAAAAACAAAGAUUCAAUUUGCAAAGUUGCAUGGGUUGAAAAGUUGUUUUAAUAUAAUUAAGGGAGAGAAUAUUAUACUUCGUUUCAAAAUCUAAAGCUUAGAUUGAGAAAUUUUAAUAUUUUCAGUCAAAGGAUACAUUGUGUGUUCUUAAAAUUCGAUUAUGAUUACGGCAUCCCUCUUCAUAGUUCGAAUUGUGAGAACAUGACACAUAAAAUAUUAUGGCAAAAGAUUGGUAAAGUAUCAUAUCUUUAUGUAAGACAUUAUGCAUCGUGUCCCAUACGCUUCGGGUAUAGGAUCGAUUGCAAAUGCUAUAAUAUUUUACCAUUCUAAAAUUUUCCAAAUGUCUAGCGCAUUAAGAGGGAAAAAGGAAUAGAAUUGGUUUUGACUAAAAUAAUUAAACAACUAUCAAAGGACGAUCCAAAGUUCGCUGAGGAUUGGUCGCUUGUGAGUAGUUGGAAGUAUGGUAUUGGAUGGACCAUAUCGACAUUAUUAUGAAUAGAUAAGAUUCUAUUAAGAAUGAGUUGUCAUAUGGCAAAUGUGGAAAUGUUUCCAUAUUGGGAGUUGGAUAUUGAGAGUCUAUGCCUAGAUUAGAAACUUUUAUGCAAGAAGGAUGUUCAAAGGAAUGUACUUUGAAUGUGAGACUUCACAUCUAUGGAAUUGUCUUGUAACAAUUUCUAAGAAAGUACUUUGUAAUUUCAUUAGCCAAGUCUUGGUGACUUUUGUGCUAUGACUUUACGAAAGGAUCGUUGCGUAAAAUGUUAGAAUCUAGCAUAUUCUAGUAGUGGCAAGAACCUUGUGUUCUUACACUAAUAAUUAGGAUUAAGGAAUUGUGAAAUGAGCAUCAUUGGAAAAGUUUUCACGUGAUCUAUUUCACAAAGCAUGUACCAUAGGAAACAAAGUGUGCAUGUUUAGAGCAUGGGACAAUUGUUGGUAUAAUUCAAGUAAUGAGUUGAUUAUCCGAAACAUUAAAUGAUAAAUAAUGAGUAAUCAAUAUGGUGGAUAAAUAGAAGGGUUUUAUUUACUCUCACAAGUUUGGGGCCAUAUAGGAUUAAGUAUUGUUGUCAUGUUUCAAUUUGCAUGUUUUGACUUCCAGAAUAACUAGGUUAUUCAAACAUCCACAGUCGGUCAUACGUUGGGAGUAGGUAUGAAUAAAGACUGUCAUGAANGACUUCCAGAAUAACUAAGUUAUUCAAACAUCCACAGUCGGUCAUACGUUAGGAGUAGGUAUGAAUAAAGACUGACAUGAAUCUGUGUGUAGAUUGUCUGAAGUGUUUAGACAUGGCACAAGUUUGUUGCAGAAUUCAUGAAAGCUUUGAUAAGAUUAGAGUAUUGGAUUAAACCCACGCUCACUUGGAUCACUUCAUGGUUUUAUCACGAGUGAUUAGUGAGACGAUAAUAUUGUAUAUUCUUGAAACCGAGACGUGUGAGUUGUUAUUUGUUGGUCGGUUGCACAUUGAUAAUAAGUAAACGCACCAGUAACUUGGUGUUAUAAAACUUAUUGUUGUGUAUGAUUCGAUCAGUAAAUGCAAGCGAGCAUUUGAGUCGAAGUUUAUCCAUUCCUCUUACCUAAAGUGGGAUAAAAGUGAUAUCUAUGGGCCUCUCAAUGAUUUAGUGAUGACACCUAAGCGCUUGGCCAAGCCAGGACUAAGUUGAUGUAUUCAAUUGUAGUCUGUUGGCUGUCGUCAUAAAUCGGAAGUCGGGAAACAGUAUAGAGAGAAUGAUUGAAAUUCAUGUCUUUUUGUCUAUACGAUAUCUUGAGAAUGGAGGAAUAUAUAAUCCCUUAUCUAGAGGACACGCUAUCUGAUAAGAUCAGAGUUGACAGCGGCUUUUGAAAGCUACGAUUGCUGAUCAGGUUCUGAAGUCAUACGGAAAAUAGUUAUUAGACUUAUCCAAGUGGGAGACUGUUGGAUUAGUGUCUAAGUCCAUAACUAUUUUGGUAUGUACUUGACCCGAUUAUGAGCAUGGUCCUUUUGGGUUGCCUUCACCAUAGCAAUAUGUAGGAUGAAUUAAGAAGAGAAAGGUUUAAAUAUGAUUUAUUAAUAUAUUAUGAGAAUAAUAUAUUAAAGGACAAAUCAUAUUGUUUAAUUAAUAUUAGUCAAGAAUUAAUUAAGAAUUAAUUUUGUGGCUAAAAGAGAUUAAUUAAAUUUAGGGGACUGGACUGCAAUUAUUGGAUAAUUGAGUUAUUGGGCUAAGGAAUGCUAAAGGAAUAAGGGGUGAACGAAAUUAUGAUGGAAGCCCAUCAUAUUUUCGUCCAUAGCCUUAUCCAGAAGGUUCCAUGGGCUGCUUAGAGUUUAAGCUGUCCAUUAGGGUUUUGACUGAAACCCUAGCAGCCUACACAAGUA
rnacentral:lncRNA from 1 species